GACCCAAAAGGAAACAUGAACUUUCUACUGCUGUGUAGAUUAUAUUUCGGGCUUUCCUUACAUUAUUAUAAAGAUAGAGUGUUUUAAGGGGUUGUGGGGAAAGGUCCUGAAAUCACAGCCCUCCCCCAAAGUGCUUUCUUUCUUAAGAAAUUGAGGAAGAUAGGCUUUAAGAACAGACAUUAUUAUUAUUUAUAAAAUUUGUAUACCGCCCUUCAUCUGAAGAUCACAAGGUAGUCACAACAU